GCAUAUCAAUAAGCGGAGGAAAAGAAACCAACAGGGGAUUGCCUCAGUAACGGCGAGUGAAGCGGCAACAGCUCAAAUUUGAAAUCUGGCCCCAGGCCCGAGUUGUAAUUUGCAGAGGAUGCUUUUGGCGCGGUGCCUUCCAAGUUCCCUGGAACGGGACGCCACAGAGGGUGAGAGCCCCGUCAGGUCGUGCAACCAAGCCUUUGUAAAGCUCCUUCGACGAGUCGAGUAGUUUGGGAAUGCUGCUCUAAAUGGGAGGUAUAUGUCUUCUAAAGCUAAAUAUUGGCCAGAGACCGAUAGCGCACAAGUAGAGUGAUCGAAAGAUGAAAAGCACUUUGAAAAGAGAGUUAAACAGCACGUGAAAUUGUUGAAAGGGAAGCGUUCAUGACCAGACUUGGGCCCGGUUGAUCAUCCAGCGUUCUCGCUGGUGCACUCCUCCGGCCCAGGCCAGCAUCAGUUCGCUCCGGGGGACAAAGGUUCCGGGAACGUGGCUCCCUCGGGAGUGUUAUAGCCCGGUUCAAAUGCCCUGGGGUGGACUGAGGUCCGCGCAUUGCAAGGAUGCUGGCGUAAUGGUCAUCAACGACCCGUCUUGAAACACGGACCAAGGAGUCGUCUUCGUAUGCGAGUGUUUGGGUGUAAAACCCCGGCGCGUAAUGAAAGUGAACGCAGGUGAGAGCUUCGGCGCAUCAUCGACCGAUCCUGAUGUUCUCGGAUGGAUUUGAGUAAGAGCAUACGGGGCCGGACCCGAAAGAAGGUGAACUAUGCCUGUAUAGGGUGAAGCCAGAGGAAACUCUGGUGGAGGCUCGCAGCGGUUCUGACGUGCAAAUCGAUCGUCAAAUAUGGGGCAUGGGGGCGAAAGACUAAUCGAACCUUCUAGUAGCUGGGUUUCCCGCCGA
rnacentral:rRNA from 1 species